rnacentral:lncRNA from 1 species
CAGCGAGGCCUGCUCCUGCGCAACCUCUGACUGCAGUGCAACCAGCUCCUGGGUGGUCAGCUCGUCGUCGUGCUCCUCCACCAGCUCGCAAACGUCCUCCUCUGUGACCUCCAGGCCCAAGGUCCUCCCCAAGGCAACAAUGUCCUGCACCACUGUCGACUCUGGUGCAUCAGAGUCACUUGGUGCCACACAGUCCGGCCACAGGCUGCGCCAAGCGCAAUUCAAAUUCCUCUGGCUGAUCCCCUUCCAGGCCGUGGUGAUCAUCUUCAAGCAGGUGACGAUGUCGAAGUGGUCCUUCCAGAAUUCCCGCAGGGUGAUGGUGGUGCAAUCAGUCACCUCGAAGCAUCGCCUGAAAAGCUCCUUGGUGUAGAGUUUCUUGAAAUUGGCGAUGACCUGCUGAUCCAUCGGCUGGAGCAGUGGCGUGGUGUUAGGCGGCAGGAACAUGAUGUUGAUGAAGCUGAACUCCUCCAACAAGUCCACCUCAAGGCCUUUAGGAUGAGCAGGAGCAUUGUCCAUCAGAAGCAAAGCCUUCAGCGGCAGGUCAUUGUCCAGCAGGUACUGUUUGACAGCAGGGCCAAAGGCAAGAUUGACCCAGUCCACAAACAGCACACGUGUGACCCAAGCCUUGCUGUUGGAUCGCCACAUGACACUCAGCCGCUCCUUGUCGACCUUGUGUUUCUUGAAGGCCCGUGGGUUCUCCGAGUGGUACACCAGCAGGGGCUUGAUCUUCAGGUCGCCGCUUGCGUUGGCACAGAAGAGCAGGGUCAGACGGUCCUUCAUGGGCUUGUGGCCAGGCAACUUGGCCUCCUCCUGAGUGAUGAAAGUCCUUUUGGGCAUCCUCUUCCAAAACAGCCCGGUCUCGUCGCAGUUGAAGACCUGCUGUGGAACGUAGCCCUCCGUCUUCACAACCUCCAGGAACUCCAAGGCAAAGUCUUCAGCCGCAGGAACAUCAGAACUGGCAGCCUCUCCAUGCCUGACCACGCUGUGGAUUCCGGAUCUUGCCUUGAACCGGUCAAACCAGCCUCUGCUUGCCUUGAAGACUUCUGGCUCGGCCGAGGUUCCUGGCUGUUCCCGGAUGAGGUCUGCGUGCAAGGCCUUGGCCUUCUCACAAAUCACGGCCUCAGUCACUGUGUCCCCUGCACGCUGCUUCUCUUCUAUCCAGAUGAGGAGCAACUUCUCGACCUCCUCCAGAACAGCUGGGCGGUUCUUCACGAUCCUGGUGACUCCCUUGGCUGCAUCAGUCGCAAGGAUCUUCUCCCUCAUCUUCAGGAUGGUCCCGAUGGUCGAUGGGUUCCUGCCGUACUCCCUGGCGAGGUCCGUCACACGCAUUCCACCGUCGUGCUUCCGGAUGAUCUCCUUCUUCAUCUCCAGCGUCACCUUCUCCUUCUUCCUCUCGCCGGCCUCCGCAGCAGCAGCAGUCUUCUUGGGUCCCAUGGCAGCACAGCUGUUACCUUUGUAAAACUCAG